AACGCUGGCGGCGUGCCUAACACAUGCAAGUCGAACGCGAAAGCCCCGCAAGGGGUUAUUAGAGUGGCGAACGGGUGAGUAACACGCGGGUGACCUACCUUCGAAUGGGGGAUAACGUCCCGAAAGGGACGCUAAUACCGCAUAACAUCCUGCUUUUGAACAAGUGGAGAUCAAAGCCGGGGAUCGCAAGGCCUGGCGUUUGAAGAGGGGCCCGCGUCUGAUUAGCUAGUUGGUGAGGUAACGGCCCACCAAGGCGACGAUCAGUAUCCGGCCUGAGAGGGCGGACGGACACACUGGGACUGAGACACGGCCCAGACUCCUACGGGAGGCAGCAGUGGGGAAUCGUUCGCAAUGGGCGCAAGCCUGACGACGCAACGCCGCGUGGAGGAUGAAGGUCUUCGGAUUGUAAACUCCUGUUGCUCGGGACGAAAAGCUUCGACCUAACACGUCGAGGUCUGACGGUACCGGGUGAGGAAGC
rnacentral:rRNA from 1 species